GGUGGCCAACGGCGACCGUACUGAGACGGCGUUCGGCCAGGAGGUGGAGGCGCUGCUGGCUGGCGCGGCCGUGACGAGCGCGUGGCACGAGCUGCAGCGUGCGGCCAGCGUGCACAUCAACUGGGAGCGCGAGCGCCCUCGCCCGCUGCAAUGGGAGCCCACACAGGCGCCCCGGUCCUGGGGGCCAGAGCAGGCGUAGGGAACACUACAGGUGCAGCCGCACUCCCUGCAGCGGACAACCCCCUCACCCGUGCUACCCUGGAGGGAGAGUGCAGGGCACUUCCCGUCUCGCCCGCGCUCGGAGCCGAACUUGCAAAACAUCUUUGAGCUGCAAACAACUUUUGCAUUUGGCACUGCGCUCGUUAGCACGGCGCUGGCUGCACAAACUCCUGCUCUCCGAGUCGCUAAGGUCCAUGUUCAACCAGCUUCUCCGCCCACACCCCCCGUUUCACCCUGUUCACUCCCUCUUACAACCACCUCGCCCCUUCCUCCUCACCCCCCUCAGCCCUUACGGCCCCAUCGCAACGCCACGCCACCCAGACUCCCCAGUCGUUUCGGGACUUCUUCCAAAACUGAUGACUGGAGAAAGCAAACUACUGAUCACUGUUCGACUCCUCGCCGCUGGCGCCCGCCCCGCCCCACCACGCCGCCCCGGCGGGCUUCCUCCUACAAGGUCUGUGUCUCCACAGCAUCCGGCACAGCCAAAGACAAAAACAAACGAUAAAAACAAACCAACCAUAUAUGGUGUAUACACAUUUGCCGUCAAUAAAAGGUGGCGAGUGGUAGUUGGAA